rnacentral:rRNA from 1 species
UCCAGACUCCUACGGGAGGCAGCAGUAGGGAAUCUUUCACAAUGGGCGAAAGCCUGAUGGAGCAACGCCGCGUGCAGGAUGAAGGCCUUCGGGUUGUAAACUGCUUUUAUAAGCGAGAAAUAUGAUGGUAACUUAUGAAUAAGGAUCGGCUAACUACGUGCCAGCAGCCGCGGUAAUACGUAGGGGGCAAGCGUUAUCCGGAUUUACUGGGUGUAAAGGGAGCGUAGACGGCAGAGCAAGUCUGAAGUGAAAGCCCGCGGCCCAACUGCGGGACUGCUUUGGAAACUGCCCGGCUAGAGUGCUGGAGAGGUAAGCGGAAUUCCUAGUGUAGCGGUGAAAUGCGUAGAUAUUAGGAGGAACACCAGUGGCGAAGGCGGCUUACUGGACAGUAACUGACGUUGAGGCUCGAAAGCGUGGGGAGCAAACAGGAUUAGAUACCCCGGUA